UAGGGAAUAUUGCACAAUGCGCGAAAGCUUGAUGCAGCAACGCCGCGUGCGCGAUGACGGCCUUCGGGUUGUAAAGCGCUUUUCGGGGAGAUGAGGAAGGACAGUAUCCCCGGAAUAAGUCUCGGCUAACUACGCGCCAGCAGCCGCGGUAACACGUAGGAGGCAAGCGUUAUCCGAAUUUACUGGGCGUAAAGCGCGUGCAGGCGGUUCGGUAAGUUGGAUGUGAAAUCUCCCGGCUCAACUGGGAGGGGACGUUCAAUACUGU
rnacentral:rRNA from 1 species